GACGAACCGAGCGAACGUUGUUCGGAAUCACUGGGCUUAAAGGGCGCGUAGGCGGGCCGCCGCGUCCGGGGUGAAAUCCUCCCGCUUAACGGGAGAACGGCCUCGGAUACGGGCGGCCUGGAGGGGGGUAGGGGCGUGCGGAACUGUGGGUGGAGCGGUGAAAUGCGUUGAUAUCCACAGGAACUCCGGUGGCGAAGGCGGCACGCUGGACCCCACCUGACGCUGAGGCGCGAAAGCCAGGGGAGCGAACGGG
rnacentral:rRNA from 1 species